GAAAUGCGAUAAGUAAUGUGAAUUGCAGAAUUCCGUGAACCAUCGAGUCUUUGAACGCACAUUGCGCCCCCUGGCAUUCCGGGGGGCAUGCCUGUCCGAGCGUCAUUGCUACCCUCAAGCACGGCUUGUGUGUUGGGCCGCCGUCCGCCCCGCCCCGCGGGGGGGACGCGCCCGAAAGGCAGCGCCGGCACCGCGACCUGUCCUCGAGCGGAUGGGGCUUCGUCACCCGCUCCGUGGGACCGGCCGGCGCCAGGCUUCGUCAACCACUUCUCUUCUAGGCUGACCUCGGAUCAGGUAGGGAUACCCGCUGAACUUAA
rnacentral:misc_RNA from 1 species